UUAAACAGGUGCUAAUACCGGAUAAGCCCUUCGGGGGAAAGAUUUAUUGCCGAAAGAUGGGCCCGCGUUGGAUUAGCUAGUUGGUGAGGUAAUGGCUCACCAAGGCAACGAUCCAUAGCUGGUCUGAGAGGAUGAUCAGCAUCACUGGGACUGAGACACGGCCCAGACUCCUACGGGAGGCAGCAGUGGGGAAUAUUGGACAAUGGGGGAAACCCUGAUCCAGCCAUGCCGCGUGAAUGAUGAAGGCCUUCGGGUUGUAAAGUUCUUUUGGUGGGGACGAUGAUGACGAUACCCACAGAAUAAGCUCCGGCUAACUUCGUGCCAGCAGCCGCGGU
rnacentral:rRNA from 1 species